CUCUGGUUCACCAGGAGAAAGAGUCAGAGUUGGAAUAGUUGUACUGGUCACUGCCCUAGAACUAGUGACCAAAGGGGUCACCACUCCUGGUACCCCAGGUGAAACAGUUGGAGUUGGAACAGCAGAGCUGGCU